AGCCCGAGCACUCUGGAGACAUGACAGCACUGUUAAGUGAUUUGAACAAAGACAUCGUCUUAAUCACUGCAUAAUACAUGGCAGGCCUUCACUCAGUUCCAGCUGGGAGGCAGCUACAGUGUCUACAAAACAUCAGGGGGAUACUGCAGCAGCCCGGUUGGCCUUCAACCUACCCAAAUUCUCCCACACUACACUGCUCCUCUGCAACCUGCACUGCUUACUGGUGGCUGCUUGAAUCAGAUUUAAGACACUGGUUCUUGCAUCGUGCCUGCGAGUGGCUCAGGCCCAUCCUACGUCCAGCCAGAGCAGCAAGUGAAAGUAUGUUUUCGUGACAAAGUUACACUCUACUGUGGAAGAUAAAAUAUUGCCUAUUGCCGUUUGGAGAUGCCUACUGCAGGAGAUGCAGUGUUAUGAGAGUGGAUGUGGCAAUCUCCAAAAAAUACAGACGUCACUGGAAAUCAUGGAUUAGGAUCGUAACAUUAUUGCAACACCUAUUCUCAGGAUGAAAAUGUACCAACAUGGUCAUCCCUGGGAUCACAUCAAGAGUUUUUCCACAGGAAGGCAGUUUUCAGGGAUACUGACCUGGUCCAUGUGAACUGACUGGCAGGUGGGUUGGCUUUGGCACCACAGGUGAACCUCACAUUCUCUUGACCCACGUGCCAAUUUUUGUCAACUCCUAUUAUCGAUACCACUGGUGCAACUGUAAAACAAAAUAAAACAAAAGGUUAUAAUAUUAAAGGUUUGCAAUAUGUGUAGGCUGUGUUAUUCUUUUACCACUUAAGGUUGUUCAUGCUGACUAAAAUGGAUUUUAUUUUUAUUUCAAGAGCUAAAAGACUAGGACUCAAUAAUCAGACACUGUGAUCCCAGCAGCCUGAUGACAAAUGAGCUUUUCCAGAGGGAACAAAGUGUGCAUUAUAAGCACAGUAGCAAGUGAUGACAAAAAACAAAGACUGUGCAGGACUGUAGCAGGGUACAGCAUCUUCUGGUGAACGAGAGCCAAGAGAACAAACAAAUGACCCUGGGUUGGUGGAAAGUUAA